AUUGAACGCUGGCGGCAGGCCUAACACAUGCAAGUCGAACGAGUGGCGGACGGGUGAGUAAUGUCUGGGAAACUGCCUGAUGGAGGGGGCUAACUACUGGAAACUGUAGCUGAUACCGCAUACCAUCAGAUGUGCCCAGAUGGGCUUAGCUGGUUGGUGGGGUAACGGCUAACCAAGGCGACGAUCCCUAGCUGGUCUGAGAGGAUGACCAGCAACAAUGGAACUGAGGCACGGACCUGACUGCUACGGGAGGCAGCAGUGGGGAAUAGUGCACAAUGGGCGCCAGCCUGAUGCAGCCAUGCCGCGUGUAUGAAGAAGGGCUUCGGGUUGUAAAGUACUUUCAGCGGGGAGGCGUUACCCGCAGAAGAAGCACUGGCUAACUCCGUGCCAGCAGCCGCGGUAAUAC
rnacentral:rRNA from 1 species